rnacentral:rRNA from 1 species
GACGAACGCUGGCGGCGUGCUUAACACAUGCAAGUCGAACGGAAAGGCCCUGCUUUUGUGGUGUGCUCGAGUGGCGAACGGGUGAGUAACACGUGAGUAACCUGCCCUUGACUUUGGGAUAACUUCAGGAAACUGGGGCUAAUACCGGAUAGGAGCUCCUGCUGCAUGGUGGGGGUUGGAAAGUUUCGGCGGUUGGGGAUGGACUCGCGGCUUAUCAGCUUGUUGGUGGGGUAGUGGCUUACCAAGGCUUUGACGGGUAGCCGGCCUGAGAGGGUGACCGGCCACAUUGGGACUGAGAUACGGCCCAGACUCCUACGGGAGGCAGCAGUGGGGAAUAUUGCACAAUGGGCGGAAGCCUGAUGCAGCAACGCCGCGUGCGGGAUGACGGCCUUCGGGUUGUAAACCGCUUUCGCCUGUGACGAAGCGUGAGUGACGGUAAUGGGUAAAGAAGCACCGGCUAACUACGUG